UACGUAGGGUCCAAGCGCUAUCCGGAAUCACUGGGCGUAAAGGGCUCGUAGGCGGCCAACUAAGUCAGACGUGAAAUCCCCGGGCUCAACCCGGGAACUGCGUCCGAUACUGGAAGGCUUGAAUCCGGGAGAGGGAUGUGGAAUUCCAGGUGUAGCGGUGAAAUGCGUAGAUAUCUGGAAGGAACACCGGUGGCGAAGGCGACAUCCUGGACCGGUAUUGACGCUGAGGCGCGAAAGCCAGGGAGCAAAGCGGG
rnacentral:rRNA from 1 species